rnacentral:rRNA from 1 species
AUUGAACGCUGGCGGCAGGCCUAACACAUGCAAGUCGAACGGUAACAGGGAUCAGCUUGCUGAUUCGCUGACGAGUGGCGGACGGGUGAGUAAUGUCUGGGAAACUGCCUGAUGGAGGGGGAUAACUACUGGAAACGGUAGCUAAUACCGCAUAACGUCGCAAGACCAAAGAGGGGGACCUUCGGGCCUCUUGCCAUCGGAUGUGCCCAGAUGGGAUUAGCUAGUAGGUGGGGUAACGGCUCACCUAGGCGACGAUCCCUAGCUGGUCUGAGAGGAUGACCAGCCACACUGGAACUGAGACACGGUCCAGACUCCUACGGGAGGCAGCAGUGGGGAAUAUUGCACAAUGGGCGCAAGCCUGAUGCAGCCAUGCCGCGUGUAUGAAGAAGGCCUUCGGGUUGUAAAGUACUUUCAGCGGGGAGGAAGGGAGUAAAGUUAAUACCUUUGCUCAUUGACGUUACCCGCAGAAGAGGCACCGGCUAACUCCGUG